GGUGGAAUGCGCAGAUAUCAGGAGGAACACCGAUGGCGAAGGCAGAUCUUGGGCGUAACUGACGCUGAGGAGCGAAAGGGUGGGGAGCAAACAGGCUUAGAUACCCUGGUAGUCCACCCUGUAAACGUUGGGAACUAGUUGUGGGGUCCUUUCCACGGAUUCCGUGACGCAGCUAACGCAUUAAGUUCCCCGCCUGGGGAGUACGGCCGCAAGGCUAAAACUCAAAGGAAUUGACGGGGACCCGCACAAGCGGCGGAGCAUGCGGAUUAAUUCGAUGCAACGCGAAGAACCUUACCAAGGCUUGACAUAUACGAGAACGCUGCAGAAAUGUAGUUCUCUUUGGACACUCGUAUACAGGUGGUGCAUGGUUGUCGUCAGCUCGUGUCGUGAGAUGUUGGGUUAAGUCCCGCAACGAGCGCAACCCUCGUUCUAUGUUGCCAGCACGUAAUGGUGGGAACUCAUGGGAUACUGCCGGGGUCAACUCGGAGGAAGGUGGGGAUGACGUCAAAUCAUCAUGCCCCUUAUGUCUUGGGCUUCACGCAUGCUACAAUGGCCGGUACAAAGGGCUGCAAUACCGCGAGGUGGAGCGAAUCCCAAAAAGCCGGUCCCAGUUCGGAUUGAGGUCUGCAACUCGACCUCAUGAAGUCGGAGUCGCUAGUAAUCGCAGAUCAGCAACGCUGCGGUGAAUACGUUCCCGGGUCUUGUACACACCGCCCGUCAAGUCAUGAAAGUCGGUAACAUCCUGAAGCCGGUGGCCCAAUCUACUGUGGAGGAGCCGUCGAGAGGAGAGAUGCGACCCUUCCC
rnacentral:rRNA from 1 species